AUUAAAAUUUGGUUAUUUCGUUUAGUUCGGUUACUAAAUCAAAGGUAAUUGAACUGAUAACUGAAAAUGAAAAAUUUUUAUUAUUACUAAUCGAAAACUGAACCGAAUCGAAUUUACUCUUACCGCAAUAACUGAAUUUUAUCAGUUCGAUUCGAUUAUUCGGUUAUAACUGAAUAAUGCACACCCCUAGCCAGAAAGGAUCCAGAGGGAGAAACAAAAUUGAGAGAACCAGGACAAUGAAAGGAGGUCAAGGCAAGAAGAAGAAGAAGUAGAAUAACGAAGAAAUGGGAGCUAAAAACUAGAAGUGUCGUUUUGAAGUGGGGGAUUAAAGAAACAUUCUCUAGACGUAAAUAGUCAUUGGCCAAAGACUAAAGAUGAUAUAAGGCAGAUGAUAUAAGGCGGUGAGGAGCAUCUCCAUCUCUGUUUUGUUAGGCUAAAGAGUUGGGUAAUGUUCACCCAUGUCAAUUAGGUUUCUAAGUUGAGGGCUGGAUUGUCAUUCGAUGUGGGCUUUAGAGAUGAAACUAAGCAAUACAGUGUAUUGGGUCUGUAUGGGACUUGUAAACAAAAAUAUAAGGCUUAUCGCGCUAAGGGUUACAUAGCAAAUUAGAUAAAUAAAACAGUGAUACUCCAAAAAG
rnacentral:misc_RNA from 1 species